AUAUAUUUUGUUAUUUAUAUUUUUAAAUCAAAUCGAUUUUUAAGUUGCUUUCUUUCAUUUAAAUAUAUAAGAGAAAUUUUUUGAUAUAUUUAUUUUAAUUAUUUUUACCGAUUAAUAUUUAACAUAUAUAAACGAUCUUAAAAUAUCAUCGAUGUACAAUGUAUUCAGUAUAAUAAUUGAGUAGUUUUUAAAUUUUCGCGGUAUUUUAAGUUGAGGUCCGAAAAUUUUCUUUCGGAUGCGGACGCUAGCACGCGCACCUCCAUUCAACAUCCGUUUUGAAAAUUUUGAAAAUUAUCCUUGACAAAUUAUCGCACCAUACUGAUAAACAAAUAGUGAACAACUGUGUCUAAAGAAUAUAAAGACAAGAGAAGACUUUUCUGUGUAAACCUCUUGAUGUUAGCGCCUUUAGAUGAUGUUCUAGACUGCCACAAAGAGACAACAGAAUCCAAAAUAUCUUAGCAGUGUUCAAGACAUCUGAAGUGUGAAGAGAGCAGAAUGAGUUGCUAGGCCAAAAGAAUAGAUCUUUAAAACAAAAUAAAUUUUUCAUUUUAAAAACCUA